rnacentral:miRNA from 1 species
UCGUGACGGUGACCAGACCUUGCAG